rnacentral:rRNA from 1 species
UUUGAGAGUUUGAUCCUGGCUCAGGAUGAACGCUGGCGGCGUGCCUAACACAUGCAAGUUGAGCGAUUUACUUCGGUAAAGAGCGGCGGACGGGUGAGUAACGCGGGGGUAACCUACCCUGUACACACGGAUAACAUACCGAAAGGUAUGCUAAUACGGGAUAAUAUAUUUGAGAGGCAUCUCUUGAAUAUCAAAGGUGAGCCAGUACAGGAUGGACCCGCGUCUGAUUAGCUAG